ACACUUUCCUGGCAGGGGAGAUGCCUAAUGAUGGUUUUCCCUGGGGAGACCCGUGCAUUGCACUUGGGCAUUACCGUAUGUGGAAAUGUAGCUGCAUAAGUUGUGGCAGGGAGCGCGGGGUUCUCUAUCUCCCC
rnacentral:snRNA from 12 species